CACGGGUGAGUAACACGUAUCCAACCUGCCGUCUACUCUUGGACAGCCUUCUGAAAGGAAGAUUAAUACAAGAUGGCAUCAUGAGUCCGCAUGUCACAUGAUUAAAGGUAUUCCGGUAGACGAUGGGGAUGCGUUCCAUUAGAUAGUAGGCGGGGUAACGGCCCACCUAGUCUUCGAUGGAUAGGGGUUCUGAGAGGAAGGUCCCCCACAUUGGAACUGAGACACGGUCCAA
rnacentral:rRNA from 1 species